GAUGAACGCUGGCGGCGUGCCUAAUACAUGCAAGUCGAGCGAACGGACGAGAAGCUUGCUUUUCUGAUGUUAGCGGCGGACGGGUGAGUAACACGUGGAUAACCUACCUAUAAGACUGGGAUAACUUCGGGAAACCGGAGCUAAUACCGGAUAAUAUUUUGAACCGCAUGGUUCAAAAGUGAAAGACGGUCUUGCUGUCACUUAUAGAUGGAUCCGCGCUGCAUUAGCUAGUUGGUAAGGUAACGGCUUACCAAGGCAACGAUGCAUAGCCGACCUGAGAGGGUGAUCGGCCACACUGGAACUGAGACACGGUCCAGACUCCUACGGGCGGCAGCAGUAGGGAAUCUUCCGCAAUGGGCGAAAGCCUGACGGAGCAACGCCGCGUGAGUGAUGAAGGUCUUCGGAUCGUAAAACUCUGUUAUUAGGGAAGAACAUAUGUGUAAGUAACUGUGCACAUCUUGACGGUACCUAAUCAGAAAGCCACGGCUAACUACGUG
rnacentral:rRNA from 1 species